rnacentral:rRNA from 1 species
AAACUAACAAGGAUUCCCCUAGUAGCGGCGAGCGAAGCGGGAAGAGCUCAAAUUUAUAAUCUGGCACCUUCGGUGUCCGAGUUGUAAUCUCUAGAAGUGUUUUCCGCGUUGGACCGCGCAUAAGUCUGUUGGAAUACAGCGGCACAGUGGUGAGACCCCCGUAUGUGGUGCGGACGCCCAGCGCUUUGUGAUACACUUUCGAAGAGUCGAGUUGUUUGGGAAUGCAGCUCAAAUUGGGUGGUAAAUUCCAUCUAAAGCUAAAUAUUGGCGAGAGACCGAUAGCGAACAAGUACCGUGAGGGAAAGAUGAAAAGCACUUUGGAAAGAGAGUUAACAGUACGUGAAAUUGUUGGAAGGGAAACGCUUGAAGUCAGACUUGCUUGCCGGGCAACCGGUUUGCAGGCCAGCAUCAGUUUUCCGGGGUGGAUAAUGGUAGAGAGAAGGUAGCAGUUUCGGCUGUGUUAUAGCUCUCUACUGGAUACACCUUGGGGGACUGAGGAACGCAGUGUGCCUUACGGCGGAGGUUUCGACCUCUUCACACUUAGGAUGCUGGUGGAAUGGCUUUAAACGAC